rnacentral:rRNA from 1 species
GACGAACGCUGGCGGCGUGCCUAAUACAUGCAAGUCGAGCGCAGGAAAUCAUCCGAACCCUUCGGGGGGACGUUGAUGGAAUGAGCGGCGGACGGGUGAGUAACACGUAAAGAACCUGCCCUCAGGUCUGGGAUAACCACGAGAAAUCGGGGCUAAUACCGGAUGGGUCAUCGGACCGCAUGGUCCGAGGAUGAAAGGCGCUUCGGCGUCGCCUGGGGAUGGCUUUGCGGUGCAUUAGCUAGUUGGUGGGGUAAUGGCCCACCAAGGCGACGAUGCAUAGCCGACCUGAGAGGGUGAUCGGCCACACUGGGACUGAGACACGGCCCAGACUCCUACGGGAGGCAGCAGUAGGGAAUCUUCCACAAUGGACGAAAGUCUGAUGGAGCAACGCCGCGUGAACGAUGAAGGCCUUCGGGUCGUAAAGUUCUGUUGUAAGGGAAGAACAAGUGCCGCAGGCAAUGGCGGCACCUUGACGGUACCUUGCGAGAAAGCCACGGCUAACUACGUGCCAGCAGCCGCCGUAA